rnacentral:rRNA from 1 species
AUGUCCGUAUUUUUGUUUUUAUCGACACCUCUCCCUCUAAGCAUGUGGACAUGUUUUUUGAUUAUGCUUAAGCAGUGGGAACGGAAGUACUGUAAACCAAAUAAUUGUCCUAUGCCCUACAAGAUGCAUGUCAGGGUCAGUGACACAGUUCAAGUCAUCACAGGCCAUGAGAAUAGUAAAGUUGGGGAAGUUGACCUGAACUUGAAGUCAAAGCACAAUAAAUGCAUAGAGGAUGAACUGGGGGAAAUUGUCAUGAAGAACAUGAUGAGCAGGGUUGGGAACCAUCUCCUUGAGGACGGCACGAAGGUUCACUACCUGAAGAAGAUCGACGUAGUGAUGUGCAAUGUAGAUAUCCAAGUGAAGGUGUUCAAUGAAAGAGAUUCAUAG